AAACUUUCAACAACGGAUCUCUAGGCUCUUGCAUCGAUGAAGAACGCAGUGAAAUGCGAUACGUAAUGUGAAUUGCAGAAUCUCGUGAAUCAUUGAAUCUUUGAACGCACAUUGCGCCCUUUGGUAUUCCAUAGGGCAUGCCUGUCUGAGCGUUAGUA
rnacentral:rRNA from 1 species